AUCUUUCUAGUAUUAAUAAUACUAGUGACUUCCAAUCACUUAAUCCUGGUUAAACCCCGGGGAAAGGUA
rnacentral:tRNA from 1 species